rnacentral:rRNA from 1 species
AACGGGUGAGUAACACGUGGGUGAUCUACCUUCGAGCGGGGGAUAACGUUCCGAAAGGAACGCUAAUACCGCAUGACGUCCUGGGUUUGAAGACCUGGAGACCAAAGCUAGGGACCGCAAGGCCUGGCACUUGAAGAGGAGCCUGCGCCCGAUUAGCUAGUUGGCGGGGUAACGGCCCACCAAGGCAACGAUCGGUAGCCGGCCUGAGAGGGCGGACGGCCACACUGGGACUGAGACACGGCCCAGACUCC